rnacentral:rRNA from 1 species
GGCUGAAAUUCGCCUUCAUGAAGCCGGAAUUGCUAGUAAUGGCAGGUCAGCAUACUGCCGUGAAUACGUUCCCGGGCCUUGUACACACCGCCCGUCACACCAUGAGAGUUGGAGAUACCCGAAGCCUGUGAGCUAACAAACGAGGCAGCAGUCGAAGGUAGAAUCAAUGAUUGGGGUGAAGUCGUAACAAGGUACC